rnacentral:lncRNA from 1 species
UAAGUCAACAAAUUGUCUAAUUCUCUUGGAAAUUCUUUGAUUUUAGGAAAUGGACAUUUUACACAAUUGCCUUGGAGAAGUUAAAAAAAAAACAGAUUUCCAAAUGCAUUAUCAAUAAGUAGGACAUUCUGAUCCUGAGAUUGGAAAUGGAGAAGACAUGGAACACUACCCCAGGAGCCCCAGCCCCUCCAGACUGGACCUGGGCGUGGACUGAGACUGGGAGCCACUGCCCUCUGCUGUACUAAGAGGUGAGUGCUUCUGACUUGCCAGCUUCACCUUGUCCUAGGUGGGGCCA